UGCUUUGUCUCCUCCAUCAUUCACUGGGCGACUUUUGGGUUCCUGGGCUUAUUUCAUGUGGUUUUCCUGACCUGCUAGAAGUUCUUCUAUGAUGCUUGAGGCAUCCAUCAUAUCUGAGAGCUUCGUCUUGACUUUGUCACGAAUUUGGUGAGGAGUGGAGCUGGCUGGCUGCGGACGAGGAAGUAGAGCAAUACAUACUUGUGCACAUACACGUAUAUGAGAAUGCAUAUCUAUUCAGACCUGUAACCCUACCUGUACACAGCUAUAUAUAUAU